UUUAGUUUUUACAUACAAUGUUUGACUCUUUGCCUUAUUCAAAAAAUGUACGAUUAAUAUUUUUGUUUUUAUGAGAUGAUAAAACAUGAAUAAUAUUUUAUGUGUGACUAAUCUAUUUUAAAUUUAUCGAAAAAUUUUCAAAUAAAACGAAUGGUCAAACAUUCAACACAAAAACCGAAAAGUUGUCUUUUAG
rnacentral:pre_miRNA from 1 species